UCCCAUAGAUUUCUUACCAUCACAGUAUUAAAAAAAGCACAAACUUUUUAAUACAAUAAGUUAGACAUUUAUCUGGAUCCAAACCAAACCCUUGUUGCAGCAAGUCAUGACAAAAAGAUCCUCAGCAGAAAAUAAAGCUUCUUUCUAAUCCUUCUUUUUUCCACAACAAUUUAUUAACAUCACAACAAAAGUUAUUUUAUACAAGUAGUUAGACCCUGUUUCUGUAUUUAGGCUCACAGUGGUGAAGCAUGACGAGAUAAAAUACAGUUCCUUCGGUACCUAGCAACUUACCCAGAAAGAUGCGUGAACAUGCAGGGCUACUUCCUCACGAAAUAUAGAUAAAUAAUUAAAGAGCAUUGAAGCAUGAUCCGGCAGGCAUAUUGGACGGCUUUGCUCCAAGAAAUGGAAUGCUUUCUCUUAUUUCAUUGCUUAGAUUUCAUGUCAACAGAUGCAUUCUGAUUCAGUAAAUUGUACUUGGCAUCACCACCACCAUGCAGCACAAACAAAUUAAAUCAAUUACAUAAAGAUGUAGAUUUGCAUGGAUGUAUUGGCCUAUUCUAUGCGAAGACACACAAGGAGCAAUAUUUACCUAGAUACUUGAAACAGGGCUCAAUGAUACAGAAGCCCAGCAUGAGCACUUGACUUCUAACCAUGGAAACCCCAGAACCAUUUCCAUGUUCUCAUGCAAAACCAAUUACGUUUCUGACAAACUCCAAUAAGGAGUCUUUAUAUCUUUCCAAAGCAUCAGAAGGUCAGUUCUUGUAAAACUAUAUCACUCCUAGUUAACGCUAAGCGAAAGUGCAAAACAACCUUCAGGAAUUCGCACAACAAAGACAUUCAGUGUUUAAAAAAGGAGCAAGUAGUUGAAUUUCCAUCGAGUAUAAUUCCAUUUGAACAUACUAAGAUGCAAUAUUUGAAGGUCGAAAGUACAUAAAAUCUUUUAGAAGCAACUAAAAAAUGAAAACAAAAAGUGGUACCAACUUAAAAAAUAAGAAUAAGAGACGGAAAACGAAGCAUUUAAGCAACACAUACUCAAUCAAGCUUUCUUAAUUUAGAAAAUGUCUAGCAUCAGUGCGACAUUCUAACUGCAAACUAUGGCGGUGUAUCAUAAACAAUCUGCCUAGCAACCUACUUCAAGGAUCCGUUUUUGCAGAAUGUGACAUAGAAUCCACACUCGCAUGAGUCAUGUCAUAUUGUAAAGAACCAAUAAAUAAGGAAUAGAACAAAAAGUAUAAUUACCGUCUGAUCUGCACCUUUAUCUGUAGAGGAAGUAUAUAUUCAUUUAUUUCCUUAAUUCUCAUACAAACUGCUGAUCUAUAAUCUAUUUCAUUUUUAAAGUAAAGAUUUUGGAUUUGCUAUCAGAGAAAACAAGGUAAAUUUAGGGAAAAGAAGUCCACAGAUGCACCAAGUCACAGAAUUUGUGUUCAUGUGUGUUAAAACUACUUUAUUGAGAUACCUUUUCUCUCAUUCGAGAGCUCCAGAUGUCAGAAUCACCCUUGAUUGCUCCAGAUGUUUGGCUUAAUUGUGGAUUCAACAGUGGCUCCCAAGUUCUUCCCCUAGCAUCGUAAUCUCCCUCAAUGUCAUGGUCUACUGUCCGAGUGGAAACCAUGGAUCGCAAGAUCAGCGCAAGAAGCAAAGAUAAUGACUGAAA
rnacentral:lncRNA from 1 species